UACGAAGGGAGCGAGCGCUGUUCGGAAUCACUGGGCUUAAAGCGUGCGUAGGUGGAUUGGUAAGUAAGGAGUGAAAUCCCAGGGCUUAACCCUGGAACUGCUCUUUAGACUGCCUGUCUGGAAUUCGGAAGAGGUUGGUGGAACUCCCAGUGUAGAGGUGAAAUUCGCAGAUAUUGGGAAGAACACCGGUGGCGAAGGCGACCAACUGGUCCGACAUUGACACUGAGGCACGAAAGCGUGGGUAGCAAACAGG
rnacentral:rRNA from 1 species